rnacentral:rRNA from 1 species
GUGUAAGUACUAGCCAACUAAUAAAAUGGUGAAACCGCGAAAAGCUCAUUAAAUCGGCUUUGGUUUAUUAGAUAGUAUGUAGAUUGAAGUUUUUCGUUGCCUUAUGUGCACACGAAAAGUGAAUAUCUAAAAUGGAUAACUGUGGUAAUUCUAGAGCUAAUACAUGAAAUUUAAUGGUGCGAACGUUCGACGCGACUCUGUCUGCUCAAUUGCGACUAGUCCGUGUCGAUCAAUGUUGCACGCUUUUAUUAGAGGAAAAAGCCAAUUUUAUCGACCGUGGGCACGGUGUCAUGGUUCACUUGGGCGAAAAUCUCAUGUGACCGCCGUGAUCCGUGCCCAAUUCAAAAAUGUGUCGAGAGAGCACCCGUUUCUGUGUGCCGUCGUUGCACUUGAUCGUGCACGACGUUCUUAAGCUGGUGUUGAAUCUGAAUAACUUGAACGAAUUCGUUUCGCUCAGGCGAACAAUCGGCUCGGAUUUGUGCGCGUUCACGUGUGCGUCCGUGCCGUUGUCCGUGUCGGGCGGGACGGAUUUAAAGCAGACCGCAGUUAAUGGUGAUUGUCGUCGGCGGCACUCUAACCGUGUGCGCGACGACGGGAGCCUUUGCGGCGUAUCUUUCAAUUGUCUGCCUUAUCAACUUUCGAUGGUAGAUUACAUGCCUACCAUGGUUGUAACGGGUAACGGGGAAUCAGGGUUCGAUUCCGGAGAGGGAGCCUUAGAAACAGCUACCACAUCUAAGGAAGGCAGCAGGCACGCAAAUUACCCACUCCCAGCACGGGGAGGUAGUGACGAUAAAUAACGAUCCGGGACUCUUUAGAGUUUCCGUAAUCGGAAUGAGUACAGUUUAGGUCCUUUAACGAGGAACAAGUGGAGGGCAAGUCUGGUGCCAGCAGCCGCGGUAAUUCCAGCUCCAUUAGUAUAUAUUAAAGUUGUUGCGUUUAAAAAGCUUCGUAGUUGAAUCUGUAUCCCAUACUGUCAAUCGUUCGUAAUUUAAUUUACGUGGUUUGACAUUUUUUGUAUGGGAUAUGCACGCUGGCGGGUUCGGCACGUGUUGUCGGCAAGCCGUGCACAAUAAAGCGACACAUCGCGUUACCUUUGCGCAAGUGUACGUGUUGCACUAAAUGUGUGAACGCGGACGCUUGCGCAUUAUACGUAACGUGUGUGCCGUGUGCACGCACCGUCGACGCGUCAGUGUCCCGAUGCGACGGAUUCGAUUAGCUUCGAAUUCGUAUCGCAUUCUGAUUGGAAACUCACUCUCGCGCAUUAGUGCAUCCGAUCGUCUCGUGUGCCGCGCAUCGUCGCGUGCACACGUGACACGGUGCACCGUGUGCGAUUGUGUGAAAUCUCUCUGUCAGGCCAGCGAUAUUACUUUGAACAAAUUAGAGUGCUCAAAGCAGGCAAAUUUAUAUGCCUUGAAUAUCGCAGCAUGGAAUAAUAGAAUAUGAUCUCGGUACCGUUUUCGUUUGAAAUUGGCUUAAAGGGCUAGAUAAAACCGGAAACGGUGUUCGGAUGCGCGGGCACGAUACCGGCUACGUCGACGCCUAGUGUGUACUCCGCCCGGGCGUAUAACGGGACGCGUGUGCAAUUCGUGUCCACGUGCGCGGCCCAGUGCUGCUGUGUGAUACGAGCGCACGCGUACCGGUCCGGUUGCGCGAGCACCGGUGUCACUAAAUGGUGUACGCCGUUUAGUAUCGCGUGUGCCCGAUGCAACUCGAAUUAUUUAGUCCGACGGUAUAU